rnacentral:rRNA from 1 species
UACGUAGGGUGCGAGCGUUGUCCGGAAUUACUGGGCGUAAAGAGCUCGUAGGCGGUCUGUCGCGUCUGCUGUGAAAACUCAGGGCUUAACCCUGAGCUUGCAGUGGGUACGGGCAGACUAGAGUGCGGUAGGGGAGACUGGAAUUCCUGGUGUAGCGGUGAAAUGCGCAGAUAUCAGGAGGAACACCGGUGGCGAAGGCGGGUCUCUGGGCCGUAACUGACGCUGGAGGAGCGGAAAAGCAUGGGGGAGCGAACAGG